CAGCUGUCACAUCUUUCUUCCCUCCAGCUACUGGAUCUAGCAGACAACAGUUUCGUAGGUUCCAUACCAAGAAGUUUGGCCAAUCUAACAGCCAUGAUGCAGCCAAAAGCAGAGUUGAACAUACCCCUGGAAGUCAACUAUCAAGUUCUGGGUAAAUUUGCCAGGUAUGCAUACACAGAGCGAAUAAACAUAAACUGGAAGGGACAGUAUCAUACCUUUGAAGGAACCAUUGCACUUAUGACAGGCAUCGAUCUGUCGAGCAACUACCUUUCUGGUGAAAUCCCUCUGGAGCUAUCAAAUCUUCAAGGUCUCAGAUUCCUAAAUUUUUCAAGAAAUCAUCU
rnacentral:lncRNA from 1 species